rnacentral:rRNA from 1 species
GAACCUGCCCAGAUCACGGGGAUAACGGUUGGAAACGACAGCUAAGACCGGAUAGGUGAUGACGAGGCAUCUUGUCAUCAUGAAAAGAGUUACGGCUCUGGAGCUGGAUGGACCUGCGGCGCAUUAGCUAGUUGGUGAGGUAACGGCCCACCAAGGCGAUGAUGCGUAGCCGGCCUGAGAGGGCGAACGGCCACAUUGGGACUGAGACACGGCCCAAACUCCUACGGGAGGCAGCAGUAGGGAAUUUUCGUCAAUGGGGGCAACCCUGAACGAGCAAUGCCGCGUGAGUGAAGAAGGUCUUCGGAUCGUAAAGCUCUGUUGUAAGAGAAAAACGGCCGCCAUAGGGAAUGAUGGCGGAGUGAUGGUAUCUACCAGGGAAUGAUUGGGCGUAAAGGGUGCGUAGGUGGCACGUUAAGUCUGGAGUAAAAGGGAGCGGCUCAACCGCUGUUGGCCCUGGAAACCGGCGAGCUAGAGUGCAGGAGAGGGCGAUGGAAUUCCAUGUGUAGCGGUAAAAUGCGUAGAUAUAUGGAGGAACACCGGUGGCGAAGGCGGUCGCCUGGCCUGCAACUGACGCUGAAGCACGAAAGCGUGGGGAGCAAAUAGGAUUAGAUACCCUAGUAGUCCACGCCGUAAACGAUGAGAACUAAGUGUUGGGGAGACUCAGUGCUGCAGUUAACGCAAUAAGUUCUCCGCCUGGGGAGUAUGCACGCAAGUGUGAGACUCAAAGGAAUUGACGGGGGCCCGCACAAGCGGUGGAGUAUGUGGUUUAAUUCGAAGCAACGCGAAGAACCUUACCAGGUCUUGACAUCCCUUGCGAAGUCAUGGAGACAUGAUGGAGGUUAUCAAGGAGACAGGUGGUGCAUGGUUGUCGUCAGCUCGUGUCGUGAGAUGUUGGGUUAAGUCCCGCAACGAGCGCAACCCUUGUCGCAUGUUACCAAUAUUAAGUUAGGGACUCAUGCGAGACUGCCGGUGACAAACCGGAGGAAGGUGGGGAUGACGUCAAAUCAUCAUGCCCCUUAUGACCUGGGCUACACACGUACUACAAUGGCGGCUACAAAGAGCAGCGAGCAUGUGAGUGCAAGCGAAUCUCGGAAAGGCCGUCCCAGUUCGGAUUGAAGUCUGCAACUCGACUUCAUGAAGUUGGAAUCGCUAGUAAUCGCGAAUCAGCAUGUCGCGGUGAAUACGUUCUCGGGCCUUGUACACACCGCCCGUCAAACCAUGGGAGUUGGGAAAUACCC